rnacentral:rRNA from 1 species
AGCGAACGCUGGCGGCAGGCCUAACACAUGCAAGUCGAACGAACUCUUCGGAGUUAGUGGCGGACGGGUGGGUAACACGUGGGAACGUGCCUUUAGGUUCGGAAUAACGCAGGGAAACUUGUGCUAAUACCGAAUGUGCCCUUCGGUGGAAAGAUUUAUCGCCUUUAGAGCGGCCCGCGUCUGAUUAGCUAGUUGGUGAGGUAAAGGCUCACCAAGGCGACGAUCAGUAGCUGGUCUGAGAGGAUGAUCAGCCACAUUGGGACUGAGACACGGCCCAAACUCCUACGGGAGGCAGCAGUGGGGAAUCUUGCGAAAUGGGCGAAAGGCUGACGCAGCCAUGCCGCGUGAAUGAUGAAGGUCUUAGGAUUGUAAAAUUCUUUCACCGGGGACGAUAAUGACGGUACCCGGAGAAGAAGCCCCGGCUAACUUCGUG